UAGGUAGCCUCUGGGAGAAUGGUAGAUUUGAAUUCUACUUUGGGGUGUUCGAUUCAUUCGCUACCGAU
rnacentral:tRNA from 1 species